AGAUUAGAAGCAUGGAAGCUUUGAAAAGGACCGACAUGAUCAACAAUAUUGGGAUUCCAAAAAUGAUUGAUUCCAGAUGUUGAGUACCAAGAAGUGGAUUAUCCAAAACAAGGAGGAUAUAGAGCUACUUAUUUCAUCUUCAGUGGGUUAAUGUAACUAUAUAUGUUCAGCAAAAUUCUUCUAAUUUGUUUUUGAAAUAAAUGGAAUUUAACAAUGGGAAAUUUAUGUUUUUAAUUAUUGUACGAAUGAAUGAUGUUACAACCUUUGUUGUUUUGUUAACACAAAAUUUAAAUGGUAUAAAGGUUUUCUUUUA